CAUCUAAAAACAAAAUGCUUAAUCAUUAACCAAAAGUAGCUCUAUACAAAUAAGAAGCACAUAGACCGUAGAUCAUUUGUUCUUCUCUUUAGCACCACAGAAACAGUCGUCAUGGCUUUAUUUCAGCUCAUCUUAAUCUUGAUAUUAAGUUCCUGCAUGGCACAGGAUGAGGAUAUUAUGACUCCUGUGGUGAACAUCUACUCUGAGUUAAAGGAGAUUAAAGCUUCAAUUAAUAGACUGACAAUGGAUCUGAACACUUCUAACAAUGAACUCGCAGAGCAGAAUAGCUUGAUUGAGGAGUUGCAGAAACAGAUUAAAGAGUCCUAAAGUGGCAUUUACUGCAUCCAUGUCAGCUACAGAGAGUACAAACCGAGGACCUUUUAGUACAGAGACUAAGCUCAUCUUUGAUAAAGUCCUAACCAACAUUGCCAAUGCAUAUGACCCAGUCACAGGUACUCAGGCUCCGCAUUUUCAUCCCAUGAUAUGGGUCUGAGCGUCUUUAAAGGCACGACACAAUGUGUGUCUAAAUGCUGAAGACAAUUUGUGUCUUCAUACAAAUAUAAUUCUGGCGAGAGAAAUGACCAAAUGGCCAGCGGAGCUGUGAUGGAGCUGGAAGUUGGUGAGGAGGUUCACAUGAGGCUGUGGAUCAGAUCCUGGAUCUUUGUGGGUCGACACUACAACUAUUCCACUUACACAGGCUACCUGCUUUACCCAC